rnacentral:rRNA from 1 species
UAUCAGUCAUGCAUAGCAUAUCAAUAAGCGGAGGAAAAGAAACUAACAAGGAUUCCCUAGUAACGGCGAGUGAAGCGGGAAGAGCUCAAAUUUGAAAUCUUCAAGGUUUUACCUUGACGAAUUGUAGUUUAAAGAAGUGUUUUCUGUUAGAGAGUUUGGUAAAAGUUCUUUGGAAUAGGACAUCAUAGAGGGUGAGAAUCCCGUAUUUGACCAUUACUUUCCAGCUGUGUGAUACACUUUCAAAGAGUCGGAUUGUUUGGGAAUGCAGUCCAAAAUGGGUGGUAAAUUUCAUCUAAAGCUAAAUAUUGGCGAGAGACCGAUAGCGAACAAGUACCGUGAGGGAAAGAUGAAAAGAACUUUGAAAAGAGAGUUAAACAGUACGUGAAAUUGUCAAAAGGGAAGCGUUUGACACCAGUGUUGUUUAGUUGAAAAUCAAUUCAAUAAUUUGGGAUUUUGAGUAGUAUUGACUUCAUCAGCUUUCUGCACUUUUUCUUGUCAUUAUUGAAUGCACUUUUCAGGUUAACAAGUCAACAUCAAUUUCUUUUGUUGUAAAAGGUUAAGAGGAAGGUGGCUUUACUUUCGGGUAAAGUGUUUAUAGCCUUUUAACUCUGCAAUCGGAGAGAUUGAGGUCUGCAGCGUAGAUCCUUCGGGGUUAGAUACAUUUGUGCUAAGCUAUAGCUUUUCAUAGACAACUUGUUGACUAUGAUUGAGUCUUGUAGCUUACUCGCUUAUGCUAUUUUACCUACGCUUAGGAUGUUGAUGUGAUACUGCGAGCA